CAAGGUUUUGCUACUGUUUGUCAACUGGUCGACAUACCGUCUAAAUAUGACGUCGUAUUGAUGGGCUUUCACUGCUGGAGCAGCCGCGGGGGCGUUGGGCGGUGUCAGGCCAUCAGCAUUUGCCUGGUACCAUGGGUGAUGAAGAUGACGAUGUGAUUUUCACGAAUACGGCUCUUUACGAUCACCUGGUAUCCAGCGGAUACAAUGAUUUCGAGUCAGCAUCGUGUUUGGGGGAUGUCAUUGAUCAGUCAGCUGAGCUCACGGCGCAGUCUCAUCAAAAGGUGGCGCGGCUGCGGGUCGGCGCGGUGCGGGCGCUCGACUGGCUCGGGCUGCGGGCAGGGCCGCUGCU